rnacentral:rRNA from 1 species
UACGUAGGGCGCAAGCGUUAUCCGGAAUUAUUGAGCGUAAAGAGCUCGUAGGCGGUUGUCGCGUCUGCCGUGAAAGUCCGGGCUCAACUCCGGAUCUGCGGUGGGUACGGGCAGACUAGAGUGAUGUAGGGAGACUGGAAUUCCUGGGUGUAGCGGUGAAACGCGCAGAUAUCAGGAGGAACACCCGGUGGCGAAGGCGAGUCCCUGGACGACUCCUGACACUGAGGCACGAAAGCUAGGGGAGCAAACAGG